AAAGCUUUAAGUUAAUUAAACUAUUAACCUUCAAAGUUAAAAUUAUGUAUACCAUAAGCUUUA
rnacentral:tRNA from 1 species